rnacentral:rRNA from 1 species
UACGUAGGGGGCAAGCGUUGUCCGGAUUUAUUGGGCGUAAAGCGCACGCAGGCGGUCUGCUAAGUUCGGAGUGACAGUUUCCGGCUUAACCGGAAAAGGUCUUCGAAAACUGGUGGACUUGAGGACUUGAGGGGGAGACGGAAUUCCGGGUGGAGCGGUGAAAUGCGUAGAGAUCCGGAGGAACACCGAAGGCGAAGGCAGUGUCCUGGGGAGUACCUGACGCUCAGGUGCGAAAGCCAGGGGAGCGAACGGG